rnacentral:ncRNA from 2 species
AGAGUGGCACCCGUAGCUGGUUCGCCCUGUCCGCCAGGCAGCGGCGUCGUAAGAGGGAACCCGGUGGGAAUCCGGGACUGCCCCGCAGCGGUGAGUGAGAACGACAGCCGUCACGUGCACUGGGCCCAUGGCCUGGGAAGCGACGGCCGGUAGGUGCCUGCCCCGGCAGGCGUGCUCGCGAGUCCGAAGACCUGCCCGCUGCCCGCGCGCCAC